UAAUGCCUAGGAAUCUGCCUGGUAGUGGGGGACAACGUCUCGAAAGGGACGCUAAUACCGCAUACGUCCUACGGGAGAAAGCAGGGGACCUUCGGGCCUUGCGCUAUCAGAUGAGCCUAGGUCGGAUUAGCUAGUUGGUGAGGUAAUGGCUCACCAAGGCGACGAUCCGUAACUGGUCUGAGAGGAUGAUCAGUCACACUGGAACUGAGACACGGUCCAGACUCCUACGGGAGGCAGCAGUGGGGAAUAUUGGACAAUGGGCGAAAGCCUGAUCCAGCCAUGCCGCGUGUGUGAAGAAGGUCUUCGGAUUGUAAAGCACUUUAAGUUGGGAGGAAGGGCAGUAAAUUAAUACUUUGCUGUUUUGACGUUACCGACAGAAUAAGCACCGGCUAACUCUGUGCCAGCAGCCGCGGUAAUACAGAGGGUGCAAGCGUUAAUCGGAAUUACUGGGCGUAAAGCGCGCGUAGGUGGUUUGUUAAGUUGGAUGUGAAAUCCCCGGGCUCAACCUGGGAACU
rnacentral:rRNA from 1 species